GCCUGGGUGGCUCAGUCGGUUGAGCGUCCGACUUCGGCUCAGGUCAUGAUCUCACAGUUCGUGGGUUCAAGCCCCGCAUCAGGCU
rnacentral:tRNA from 1 species